GAUGAACGCUGGCGGCAUGCUUUACACAUGCAAGUCGGACGGGAAGUGGUGUUUCCAGUGGCGGCCGGGUGAGUAACGCGUAAGAACCUGCCCUUGGGAGGGGAACAACAGCUGGAAACGGCUGCUAAUACCCCGUAGGCUGAGGAGCGAAAGGAGGAAUCCGCCCAAGGAGGGGCUCGCGUCUGAUUAGCUAGUUGGUGAGGUAAUAGCUUACCAAGGCCGUGAUCAGUAGCUGGUCCGAGAGGAUGAUCAGCCACACUGGGACUGAGACAAGGCCCAGACUCCUACGGGAGGCAGCAGUGGGGAAUUUUCCGCAAUGGGCGAAAGGCUGACGGAGCAAUGCCGCGUGGAGGUAAAAGGCCUACGGGUCAUGAACUUCUUUUCCUGGAGAAGAAACAAUGACGGUAUCUGGGGAAUAAGCAUCGGCUAACUCUGUG
rnacentral:rRNA from 1 species